CAAACAAAACAGGCAUCAUUAACCUAUUUCUUAUCACCAUACCUAAAAAAAUAGAAGAAAAAAAUAGAAACAAAGAAGUAAAAUUGAGGGCUUUUUUAAACUAGCAGAGAAUUUUCCUACUCUGCAAUGGAAACUGAAAUAAAAACAGUACAAAAGAGAUUGCAGAAAGGGAUUGCUAUAGCGUCAGCUCAUACACAGUACCCAUUAGAUUCAGAGCACCGGUAAUCAGUAUAUUGACGCGAGAAUCGCCACAAAUGAGGCAUACCCAAUACGCAAAAUCGAACCCUACAACAAAAACACUCUAAGAUUGAUACUUGGAGAGAAGAGUGGCGAAUGAAUAGAGAAACGAUGAAGGGGGUUUAUAAAGGGAUGAAUGAAAG
rnacentral:lncRNA from 1 species